rnacentral:lncRNA from 1 species
CUGUCGUGUCCGCCUCUGCACUGGGAUUCCUCCAGCCCCAGCAAGUCCCUCAGGUGGUCCCAGCCUCUGUGUCCGCCUCUGCUCUCCCAGAGCGCCUCAGGCAGAGCAGCCAGGAUGGGGACCAGGCCCGCCUUACCGGGAAUGAGCCUGUCACCUGCUCCUCCCACCCCGCAGCAGCCUCUGUCGGGCUGACAGUGACUUCAGGAAUGCUCUCCUCCUGCCGCACUCUGGACCUGUUGGCCAUGCUGUUCAACUUAGCAAAUGUUCUUCCUCACCGCCAACCACAGUGGCCAGGUGCAAGUCCCUCUUGGACAACCUCAGCCCUGGAUACACCGCCUUAUUUACCACUUCCAAUGACACCAGCAGCCCAUAGUCCCCAGGCAGGAGAGCAGAGGAGCCUUCCUUGAAAAACUCAAUGGCCAGAGGAAAAAGACCAGCCUCUCAAAAUGAUAGAUUCCCCAUUGCCUGGUCCUCUACAGAAAGGCCCAUCUGCCGACAAGACCACUGCCACCCUCUGCCACCCUCCACCACCCUCCGCCAGGUCACCAGAAUGCCAGGCCUCACUCAUGAUCAGCUGAGCACCAGCAGGCAGACAGAUGUGCAUAUAUCACUUCAAAAAAACAAAAGUGGAUGUGGCUGAUGCCAAAGUGACCUGCCCCAGAAGAGCUGCUAACAGAACAGCAUCCCAGGAGGCUGCAGAAGGCUGAAGAGCAGAGCCCACACCUGCUAUGGGCCACAAGAGGCCCUGGAUGCCAUGGAGGCCGCAAGGGCCCAGGCGGGACUUGCAGAAUGAGAGUCCUAGGCCCAAGUAUAGAGUCCCUGGUGGGCACAGAGGAGAGACCAGGUCAGUGGGAGGGGUUGUCAGACCCUGUGGAGUGCCCCACCUGUGUGCCAGGCCCAGAACUGGGCUCAACUCUGAUGGUAGCAGGUGGAAAGUAGACUUCACUACUGUGGGAGUGGGGGCAUUCCUGGACACAGGGGGAAACCAGCUCACAGAACAGCCUGGGGUCUUCUUGGAGGAGGCCAUUUUGGCCCAGAUCCUAAAGGAAGACUGGAAGCCUCAGGGGGCAGUGAGAACAGGGACAAGAGAGGGCAGGUCUCAGGACUGACUGAGCAACUCAGACUGACCUGGAUCAAACUGUGGAGCCGGCGAAGGGUUUAGAGGGUUGCUGCAGGACAGUGGUGUCUGCAAAGACGCCUCUGGCUGCUGUCUGGAAAAUAGACAGGGGAGGCUGGGCAGGGGUCUGGGCAGGGGCUGGACAGGGGUGCUGGGCAGGGGCUGGACAGGGGUGCUGGGCAGGGGCUGGACAGGGGUGCUGGGCAGGGGCUGGACAGGGGUGCUGGGCAGGGUCAGUCCAUCUCCAUCCUGCUUUCCUUUUCUUUCUUUUCAACAAAUAUUGAUGGAGCACCUCCUCGGUGCCAGGCGCUGCUGCAGCCUCUAGGAAAUCAACCGUGGAAACACACGGACCCUGCCCUCCCGGCGCCAGUGUUCUGGUGGUCAGGAGGUGAAGAAAACCAGCAAGAACCAGCACAGGAAUCCGACGGUGGCAGCGCCGAGAGAAACAAGCUUGGAGGGGAAGGAGAGCUACAGAGGCUGCAUGGAUGUGAUGGUUGGAGUGGAAGCUGACAUUGUGGGCCAGGAGACCCUGGGAGUACAGGCCAAGAUGAAAAGAGCCUCAAUCCAGAGCGUUCUGUGAAGCAGUCACCACGGCCACCCUGGGCCAUCAGCUUCUGGACUUUUACAACAUAGAAAUUAAAUUUCCAUUGAAUUUGUUGGA